AGAAUCAACGCUGGCGGCGUGCCUAACACAUGCAAGUCGAACGCGAAGACCCCGCAAGGGGUUGGUAGCGUGGCAAACGGGUGAGUAACGCGUGGGCGACCUACCUCAGAGUGGGGGAUAACCUUCCGAAAGGGAGGCUAAUACCGCAUGACAUCCCGUGUUUAGAUACACGGUGAUCAAAGCCGGGGAUCGCAAGACCUGGCGCUUGGAGAGGGGCCCGCGUCCGAUUAGCUAGUUGGUGGGGUAACGGCUCACCAAGGCUCCGAU
rnacentral:rRNA from 1 species